AGAGUUUGAUCCUGGCUCAGGAUGAAUGCUGGCGGCGUGGAUGAGGCAUGCAAGUCGAACGGGUUUAGGCCCAUGGCAGACGAGGUAGGAACACGUAGGUACGUACCCCAAAGUCAGGGAUAAUCCGUCGAAAGGCGGAAUAAUACUUGAUAGUCUCUUCGGAGUAAAGAUUUAUCGCUUUGGGAACGGCCUGCGGGCUAUCAGCUUGUUGGUAAGGUAACGGCUUACCAAGGCUACGACGGCUAGGGGAGGUGAGAGCCUGACCCCCACCGAUGGAACUGCGACACGGUCCAUACUCCUACGGGAGGCUGCAGUCGAGAAUCUUCCGCAAUGGACGAAAGUCUGACGGAGCGACGCCGCGUGGUGGAUGAAGUCCCUCGGGACGUAAACACCUUUUAUGGAGGAGAAAGUUUAUUGAUGUUACUCCAUGAAUAAGGGGCUCCCAACUCUGUGCCAGCAGGAGCGGUAAUACAGAGGCCCCAAGCAUUAUCCGGAUUUACUGGGCGUAAAGGGUACGUAGGCGGUUAUAUUAGUCGGGUGUUAAAUCCUGGGGCUCAACCCCAGAAUCGCAUUCGAAACGGUAUAACUAGAAGAAGUCAGAGGCAAGCAGAACUCACGGUGUAGGGGUGAAAUCCGUUGAUAUCGUGGGGAAUACCAAAUGCGAAGGCAGCUUGCUGGGACUCUCUUGACGCUGAGGUACGAAAGCGUGGGUAGCGAAGCGGAUUAGAUACCCGCGUAGUCCACGCCCUAAACGUUGUCUGUUGGUUUUUAGGAGUAUCGGCCCUCUUAGAGACGAAGCUAACGCGUUAAACAGACCGCCUGGGUAGUACGAUCGCAAGAUUAAAACUCAAAGGAAUAGACGGGGGCUCGCACAAGCGGUGGAUCAUGUGGCUUAAUUCGUAGCUAAGCGAAGAACCUUACCAAGGCUAGAAAUCUUACUGCACGCCCCGGGAAACCGGGGAAGCCUUCGAGGGUGUAAGACAGGUGAUGCAUGGCCGUCGUCAGUUCGUGGCUUGAGCUGUUCCCUUAAGUGGGACAACGA
rnacentral:rRNA from 1 species